rnacentral:rRNA from 1 species
CCUGAUGCAGCGACGCCGCGUGAGGGAUGAAGGCCUUCGGGUUGUAAACCUCUUUCAGCAGGGAAGAAGCGCAAGUGACGGUACCUGCAGAAGAAGCGCCGGCUAACUACGUGCCAGCAGCCGCGGUAAUACGUAGGGCGCAAGCGUUGUCCGGAAUUAUUGGGCGUAAAGAGCUCGUAGGCGGUUUGUCGCGUCUGGUGUGAAAACUCGAGGCUCAACCUCGAGCUUGCAUCGGGUACGGGCAGACUAGAGUGCGGUAGGGGAGACUGGAAUUCCUGGUGUAGCGGUGGAAUGCGCAGAUAUCAGGAGGAACACCGAUGGCGAAGGCAGGUCUCUGGGCCGCAACUGACGCUGAGGAGCGAAAGCAUGGGGAGCGAACAGGAUUAGAUACCCUGGUAGUCCAUGCCGUAAACGUUGGGCACUAGGUGUGGGGCUCAUUCCACGAGUUCCGUGCCGCAGCAAACGCAUUAAGUGCCCCGCCUGGGGAGUACGGCCGCAAGGCUAAAACUCAAAGGAAUUGACGGGGGCCCGCACAAGCGGCGGAGCAUGCGGAUUAAUUCGAUGCAACGCGAAGAACCUUACCAAGGCUUGACAUGCACGAGAAGCCACCAGAGAUGGUGGUCUCUUUGGACACUCGUGCACAGGUGGUGCAUGGUUGUCGUCAGCUCGUGUCGUGAGAUGUUGGGUUAAGUCCCGCAACGAGCGCAACCCUCGUCCCAUGUUGCCAGCGGGUUAUGCCGGGGACUCAUGGGAGACUGCCGGGGUCAACUCGGAGGAAGGUGGGGAUGACGUCAAAUCAUCAUGCCCCUUAUGUCUUGGGCUUCACGCAUGCUACAAUGGCCGGUACAAAGGGCUGCGAUACCGUAAGGUGGAGCGAAUCCCAAAAAGCCGGUCUCAGUUCGGAUUGGGGUCUGCAACUCGACCCCAUGAAGUCGGAGUCGCUAGUAAUCGCAGAUCAGCAACGCUGCGGUGAAUACGUUCCCGGGCCUUGUACACACCGCCCGUCAAGUCACGAAAGUCGGUAACACCCGAAGCCCAUGGCCCAACCGUUCGCGGGG